AAAAAGAUAAACUCUGGGUUUUCGUGUCCAACGUUUGAUUGUCCGUCUUAUAUGAAAAUUUUUUAUAAUUACUAUUUUCAUUGUUGUUAGAUGAUAAAAUAUGAUUAAUACUUUAUACGUGACUUGUCUUUUUUUAUAAUUUUUUAAAAUAAGACGGACGGUCAAACGUUGGACACGGAAAUCCAGGGUUUUUCUUUUU
rnacentral:pre_miRNA from 1 species